rnacentral:rRNA from 1 species
AGUGAACGCUGGCGGUAGGCCUAACACAUGCAAGUCGAACGGCAGCACGGUAAGAGCUUGCUCUUACGGGUGGCGAGUGGCGGACGGGUGAGGAAUACAUCGGAAUCUACUUUUACGUGGGGGAUAACGUAGGGAAACUUACGCUAAUACCGCAUACGACCUACGGGUGAAAGCAGGGGAUCUUCGGACCUUGCGCGAUUGAAUGAGCCGAUGUCGGAUUAGCUAGUUGGCGGGGUAAAGGCCCACCAAGGCGACGAUCCGUAGCUGGUCUGAGAGGAUGAUCAGCCACACUGGAACUGAGACACGGUCCAGACUCCUACGGGAGGCAGCAGUGGGGAAUAUUGGACAAUGGGCGCAAGCCUGAUCCAGCCAUACCGCGUGGGUGAAGAAGGCCUUCGGGUUGUAAAGCCCUUUUGUUGGGAAAGAAAAGCAGCAGGUUAAUACCCCGCUGUUCUGACGGUACCCAAAGAAUAAGCACCGGCUAACUUCGUG